rnacentral:rRNA from 1 species
ACGAACGCUGGCGGCGUGCUUCAUACAUGCAAGUCGAGCGGGGUCCAUCCAGUGGCAACACUGGUGAAGACCUAGCGGCGAACGGGUGAGUAACACGUGAGGAACCUGCCCCAGAGACCGGGAUAACCCUCCGAAAGGAGAGCUAAUACCGGAUACCCCCACCGAGCUGCAUGGCUUGGUGAGGAAAUGGAUUCCGCUCUGGGAGGGCCUCGCGGCCUAUCAGCUUGUUGGUGAGGUAACGGCUCACCAAGGCACCGACGGGUAGCUGGUCUGAGAGGACGGUCAGCCACACUGGGACUGAGACACGGCCCAGACUCCUACGGGAGGCAGCAGUAGGGAAUCUUGCGCAAUGGGCGAAAGCCUGACGCAGCAACGCCGCGUGGGGGAUGAAGGCUCUCGGGUUGUAAACCCCUUUCAGCAGGGACGAUUGUGACGGUACCUGCAGAAGAAGGACCGGCCAACUACGU